AACGCACCUUGCGCUCCCUGGUAUUCCGGGGAGCAUGCCUGUUUGAGUGUCAUUAAAUUCUCAACCCCCGAUCGGAUUUGUUUUCGCAUUCGGAGGCUUGGAUGGUGGAGCGUGCUGGCCCCCUCUCAUGGGUCGGCUCCUCUCAAAUGCAUUCGCGGAAUCGACUUUGGUCCAUUUCGGUCAUCAGUGUGAUAAAUGUUGCGCUGUUGGCUAGGAUCGAGGUGCCGCAUACAAUGGUCUUCGGACAAUUUUAUAAACCAUUUGACCUCAAAUCAGGUAGGACUACCCGCUGAACUUAA
rnacentral:misc_RNA from 1 species